rnacentral:rRNA from 1 species
AUGGUGCGGGGUCUGCCGGUGAUCGAGCACGCCCAGCAGCUCCGCGACAGCUGCUUGGCGAGGAAGCAAAGGAGGGCUCCGUUCCCGCAGGCGGCAAAGUGGCGAGCAGAUGACCCGCUGGACCUGGUCCACGGUGAUCUAUGCGGCCCGAUAGCGCCGGCCACGGCCGGGGGCAAGCGCUACUUCCUCCUUCUCGUCGACGAUCUGAGCCGCUACAUGUGGCUCACGCUCCUCACCACUAAAGACGAAGCCGCGACGGCGAUCAAGCACUUCAAGGCCGGAGCUGAGGUGGAAACUGGGCGGAAGCUGCGCUUGCUCCGCACGGACCGUGGAGGGGAGUUCACAUCCGCCACGUUCACCACGUUCUGCGCUGAGGAGGGCAUGGGGCGCCAGCUAACGGCGCCCUACUCACCGCAACAAAAUGGGGUGGUGGAGCGGCGUAAUCAGACGAUCAUCGCCGCCGCGAGGAGCUUGAUGAAGGCGAGGGGGGUUCCGGCGCGGUUUUGGGGGGAGGCGGUCACCACCGCCGUGUACCUCCUCAACAGAUCACCGACGAAGAGCGUCGACGGCAGGACACCCUACGAGGUAUGGCACGGUCACAAGCCCGAUGUGAGCCACUUACAUGUGUUCGGCUGUGUCGCCCAUGUCAAGGUGGUGAAACCCCAUGCGGCGAAGUUGGAUGAUCGGAGCACGCCGAUGAUCCUCCUCGGGUACGAACCGGGGACGGCGGCGUACCACGUCUACGACCCAGCCCGCAACCGUGUGCACGUCUCUCGCGACGUGAUUUUCGACGAGGGCACACGGUGGGACUGGGAGGCGAACGAUGCGGCACCAGCAGGAGUGGAGUUCACCGUCGACACUUUCUCCUACACCGUGACGCGCACGACGUCGCGUCCUCUGGCGAACACAGAACCUGACGAUGCCGCAUCGUCACUGAAGAAGAACGCCGCGACAGACUCUGAGGCGCCACAGGAGGAGAGCACGGGCGGCACGGGCUCCCCCGGCCCGCAACGCGCCACCCCUACAAGUCCAGUCGCCACGGCCGAGCCCGCCGGCGACACUGAAGAGCACUAUGAAGAGCCACAACACCAGCAACAUCGCAUGACGACUCGCGCCCGCGACGGGAUCGUGCAGCCGAACCGGCAGUACGAGGACUACGUCAUGCUGGCCCACGAGGACGAGCUCUAUCUUGGCGAGAUCGACGAGCCCAGGACCUUUGCAGAAGCAGAGGAAGAAGGAACAUGGCGCCGCGCCAUGGACGAGGAGAUGGCAUCGAUCAUCGCCAACAAGACCUGGCGGCUCACUGAGCUACCUGCAGGCCACAAGGCCAUUGGGCUCAAGUGGGUGUAUAAGCUCAAGCACGAUGCCAGCGGCAACGUCCAGAAGCACAAGGCGCGCUUGGUGGCCAAGGGGGUCGUCCAGAAGCAGGGCGUCGACUUUGAGGAGGUGUUCGCUCCCGUGGCACGCCUCGAAUUCGUUCGCCUACUAGUCGCCCUCGCCGCGCACGAGGGCUGGCGUGUCCACCACAUGGACGUGAAGAGCGCCUUCCUCAACGGUGAUUUGAAGGAGGAAGUGUACGUGAUGCAGCCACCGGGCUACGCCAUCGACGGGGAAGAACACAAGGUGCUCCGUCUGGACAAAGCUCUGUACGGUCUGCGACAAGCUCCGCGGGCGUGGAACGCCAAGCUGGACCGCUGCCUCCUCGGACUCGGGUUCACCAGGAGCCCGCCGGAGCAUGCAGUCUAUGGACACGGGAACGGAACAGCACGCCUGCUCAUCGGCGUGUACGUGGACGACCUCAUCAUCACGGGGAACAACGACGACGAGAUCAGCAAGUUCAAGGAGGAGAUGCAGAAGCAAUUUCGCAUGAGCGACCUGGGCUUAUUGAGCUUCUACCUUGGCAUCGAGGUAAAGCAGAUGGCGAACGGCAUCUCCCUCAACCAGGCAGCGUACACCGGCAAGAUCAUCGAGAAGGCCGGCCUGGUGGGGUGCAACCCUGCUCAUACCCCCAUGGAAGCUCGCUUCAAGCUCAGCAGGGUGAGCUCUGCACCAGCCAUGGACGAGAUGGCGUACCGGAGCAUCGUUGGUGCACUUCGCUACCUGGUGCACACGCGCCCAGACAUAGCGUACUCUGUCGGCUAUGUGAGCCGGUUCAUGGAGGCCCCGACGACGGAGCACCUCGCCGCCUUCAAACAAAUCAUCAGGUACGUAGCCGGGACGCAGCACUACGGCUGCUUCUACGCCAGAGGGGCGGCCGAGGCAACUCUGGUGGGCUUCAGCGACAGCGACAUGGCUGGCGACGUCGACACCCGCAAGAGCACGACCGGCGUCCUCUUCUUCCUCGGCCGGAGUCUGAUCAGCUGGCAAUCACACAAGCAGCGAGUGGUGGCCCUGUCCACCUGCGAAGCAGAGUACAUCGCCGCCGCAACGGCGGCCUGCCAAGGCAUGUGGCUCACGCGGCUGCUCGGUGACAUGAAAAACGAAGAGGCCGAACAUGUCAUGCUAAAGAUCGACAACAAGGCAGCUAUCUCCCUCAGCAAGAACCCCGUCUUCCAUGAUCGCAGUAAGCACAUCGACACAAGGUUUCACUUCCUGCGCGAAUGUGUUGAAGACGGGCGUGUUGAGGUUGAGUUCAUCGGCACCAGUGGACAGCUCGCCGACAUCCUGACGAAGGCACUCGGGCGUGUCAAGUUUCAGGAACUCCGAGAAGAAAUUGGUGUGGUUCAAAUCCAGUAG